GACGAACGCUGGCGGCGUGCUUAACACAUGCAAGUGGAGCGACGAACCAGGGCUUGCCCUGGGGCAGAGCCGCGAACGGGUGAGUAACACGUGGGUUACCUGCCCCGAUGACCGGGACAACCCGAGGAAACUCGGGCUAAUACCGGAUGUGGUCUUCGGACGAAAGGAAGCUUCGGCCUCCGCAUCGGGAUGGGCCCGCGGCGCAUUAGCUUGUUGGUGGGGUAACGGCCUACCAAGGCGACGAUGCGAGCUGGUCUGAGAGGACGAUCAGCCACACUGGGACUGAGACACGGCCCAGACUCCUACGGGAGGCAGCAGUGGGGAAUCUUGCGCAAUGCGCGAAAGCGUGACGCAGCAACGCCG
rnacentral:rRNA from 1 species